rnacentral:lncRNA from 1 species
AGUGGCAUCAUUGCACUGUGACUGUGCAGGUCCCAAACAGUAUGGACAUGAAUGUCCUCAAGCUGCAUGUUAGCAGGGCUUCUAAUUCCAUCUGCAAGUGAUAGUGUGUGGAGCUUAGUUGCACAGAGCGCAUGUUACUGGAGGAGAUAUGGGUCUGUGUCAUCCUGCAUGGGAAUGAUCCUAAAAACAAAGUGAUCAGUGACUGCUCAGGACUGUGGAAAGGUCACUUGGAGCAGUGGGAAAAGGUCUGGCAGAGGAAUAAGAAGAUACAGGUCUUAGAACAAGCCCUGGGACUUCAACCAAGUCAUUUAACAUCUGGGGCCUUCGUUUAUUUAUCCUCCCAGCAGAUAAAGCAAUACCUGCCCUGUCUUCCUAACCUUGGAGGGGUCAAAAAAGUGAUGGGUGUGAAAGCAUUUUGUAAACUGUAGUGCAAGCAUACGGCAGGGGAGUGAACCAUACUUUCACUAGCGACUUGAAUGAGGUGAUAAAGAAAAGGCUCAGAACUUCAGAAAAUGCAAGAGGGGCUUGACCCUGGAUUGGCAGAGGAAAGCAAUGGUGGGAUCGAUACCUUGGAGAGCCAAGGACCAAGGGGUUAAGGGUCCAUGAGGACAGGCCUGGAUCAUCAGGAAGCUGAGUGUGGUAAGACUGUGGCUUCUUCAGGGAUUGGGUGGAGUACAGUCCUGCCAAGACCACAGUAACUCAGGGCUUGGAGACAUCACAAAGGCAGGGGCUCCUAGAGCUGAGAUAAUCUGGAGAAGAGGAUACCCAUCUACUGCAUUCUGAGAUUGGGUUCGACCUGUAGGUCAUCUUGGAUAGACGUUUUCCAGCUCUUCUUUUUUUUUUUUUUUGGAACAGAGAGAACCUAAUUGACCCUUAAAGUUCCACAGAGCAGAGUUUGCAAAUCUCUGGUUCAGCCUUAUUAUUUAAAUGAGAGGAGAAUGAAAUCCCAGAAAAGAGAUGUGAUUAUGUGAAGGUCACACAGCAAGUUAGUUGCCAAGCUGCAACUGGAACUCAGAAUUUCUGGUUCCCAGUUCUAUAUCUUAGCCUCCCAAACUGGCUAUGUGGACAGGAAAGAACAGAGUAAUGGGGUGAGCUUUAAGGAUGCAAUUUCAUAGGAUUCCAAGAGUCUCAAGGUUAGAGAAGUCGCCUAGUCCACCUCCCCUCUCUGCUUCUCACAGAAGGGUCUGCUGAACACUCUGGUGACAGAGAACUCACCCAACAUGUUCCAUGGCAGAGGCUUUUCAUUAGAUCAAGGUGACAUCUGUUUUACUGGAGCUUCCAACCACGUGUCCCAAUACUGCCCUUAGUCACAGGCAUCCAGGUCCUCUCUCUCAGGACAGCACUUUGAAUAAAUGAGGACAGCUCCCAUCCCCCUUUCUCCCAGUUGACUUUCCAGAAACAUCUCAUAUUGUUGUUGGCUUUCCACCAUUUUUCCUCUUCACUUCCUGGGCCUACUACUACACUGUGUGUCCUCCACUUGGUCUCUUCCUGAAAGCAACACUGUGCACAAUGUUCCUGGGGGCAGACUUAUUAAACCAAGUGGACCACUUCCUUC